GAGGGUGUAGCUCAGUGGGAGAGCAUAGGCCCAGCACGCACAAGGUCCUGGGUUCAGUCCCCAGCGCCUCCA
rnacentral:tRNA from 1 species